rnacentral:rRNA from 1 species
GCAGUGGGGAAUAUUGGACAAUGGGCGCAAGCCUGAUCCAGCCAUGCCGCGUGAGUGAUGAAGGCCCUAGGGUUGUAAAGCUCUUUCACCGGUGAAGAUAAUGACGGUAACCGGAGAAGAAGCCCCGGCUAACUUCGUGCCAGCAGCCGCGGUAAUACGAAGGGGGCUAGCGUUGUUCGGAAUUACUGGGCGUAAAGCGCACGUAGGCGGAUACUUAAGUUAGGGGUGAAAUCCCAGGGCUCAACCCUGGAACUGCCUUUAAUACUGGGUAUCUUGAGUUCGAGAGAGGUGAGUGGAAUUCCGAGUGUAGAGGUGAAAUUCGUAGAUAUUCGGAGGAACACCAGUGGCGAAGGCGGCUCACUGGCUCGAUACUGACGCUGAGGUGCGAAAGCGUGGGGAGCAAACAGGAUUAGA